CUGGAGGUAUCAGAAGUCGAAUGCUGACAUGAGUAGCGUUAAAGGGGGUGAAAAGCCCCCUCGCCGUAAGCGCAAGGUUUUCUACGCAACGUUCAUCGGCGUAGAGUGAGUCGGCCCCUAAGGCGAGGCAGAGAUGCGUAGCUGAUGGGAAACAGGUCAAUAUUCCUGUACCGAUCAAUAGUGCGAUGUGGGGACGGAGAAGGUUAGCUCAGCCAACUGUUGGAUAUGUUGGUUCAAGCCUGUAGUCGUGCCUGGUAGGCAAAUCCGCCGGGCUUAGAUGAGGGGUGAUAACGAGUCUGCUUGCAGACGAAGUGAGUGAUACCCUGCUUCCAGGAAAAGCCACUAAGCUUCAGCUAUUGACGACCGUACCGCAAACCGACACUGGUGCGCGAGAUGAGUAUUCUAAGGCGCUUGAGAGAACUCGGGAGAAGGAACUCGGCAAACUGGUACCGUAACUUCGGGAUAAGG
rnacentral:rRNA from 1 species